CAUUUUGCACCAAUGUAUUGGUCGUAGAACUACAAAAUGAGUUUCAAAUUCGCGAUUUAAAGAAAGAUUUUAAGAGGUUUAUGAAUGCUGCAUGACUGUGACGUGUUUAAACGGACUCGCGUGCUGAAUUCGCGCGCUCAUUCAAACGCUGCAGCGGAGGGAGUUUCCAUGGAAACGGUGCGCAACACUGUAACUGACGAACAGUAAAUCUCCGUCUCUCGCUGCUGUUUUCACUGCUUUCAGAUGAGUUUAGUCCCUAAAAUCACACAAAUAUCACACACAACUUCCAGACACUUUCUUACAUGUAACUGACAUGUUUCUGUUGAAUAUUUACUUCACAGAAAUGUUUUACAGUCUUCGAAAAAGUCCGCUAGCAUCUGUUUUCAGACGAGGAGUGAUAAUAUAAUCUUUCUACAAAGGAAGAGAAGCUCCAAGAUUUCAAAAUUUCUGAAGGGAGCUGCUGACAGAAAUGCAGGAAACACAGAUUAUGAUGGCCGUGCAGCAGAGGAGCGCAGAGUCUCCUGUCGGACAACAUCUCUAAGUCGCUAUGAACCAUGUGACUAGAUGCUAUGUACCCAGCCUCAACCAUUCAGCAGAAGGACUGUGAAAGCGG